CCUACGGGAUGCUGCAGUGAGGAAUAUUGGUCAAUGGCCGGAAGGCUGAACCAGCCAUGCCGCGUGAAGGUCAGUGCCCUAUGGGCGUUAAACUUCUUUUGUGCGGGAGCAAUAAUGGUCACGUGUGGCCAGACGAGAGUACCGUACGAAUAAGCAUCGGCUAACUCCGUGCCAGCAGCCGCGGUAAUACGGGGGAUGCAAGCGUUAUCCGGAUUUAUUGGGUUUAAAGGGUGCGUAGGCUGUGAGGUAAGGCAGCGGUGAAAUGCCCCCGCUCAACGGGGUGAAGUGCCAUUGAUACUGCCUGGCUGGAAUGCGGAUGCCGUGGGAGGAAUGUGUGGUGUAGCGGUGAAAUGCAUAGAUAUCACACAGAACACCGAUUGCGAAGGCAUCUCACGAAUCCGCGAUUGACGCUGAUGCACGAAAGCGUGGGUAUCAAACAGGAUUAGAUACCCGAGUAGUC
rnacentral:rRNA from 1 species